UACGUAGGUGGCAAGCGUUGUCCGGAUUUACUGGGCGUAAAGAGCGCGCAGGCGGUCGUUCAAGUCGCGUGUGAAAGCCCCCGGCUCAACUGGGGAGGGUCACGCGAUACUGAUCGACUCGAAGGCAGGAGAGGGUAGUGGAAUUCCCGGUGUAGUGGUGAAAUGCGUAGAUAUCGGGAGGAACAUCCGUGGCGAAGGCGGCCAUCUGGACCAGCACUGACACUGAGGCACGAAAGCGUGGGGAGCAAACAGGG
rnacentral:rRNA from 1 species